AAAAAGUUAAUUGCACACAUCGUAAUGCUGUUUAAAUAUCUUGCCUUAGAAAAUUAGGAUUGUGCUGAAAUUUUGCUUUUGAAAAUGAUGACCCAAUUAUAUGAGAAUAUCCUGGUUCAUCCUUGGAUGUUUAUCGAACGAAAUACGAUUUAUCAUCAAUCCUAGUAGCGGUGAUUUUCAGCCAAUUUGUGUACAUGUUACAUGGGCAAGUGGGGCAAAUGAGGUAAAAAAUAAGUUUCCCAAACUUUUUCACAAUAGGUCCGCAUACAACAUGAUACCACGCGCGAUGAUUGUUAGAAUACCUUAUACCUAAUAUUCUUGAGUGAAGUAGCCUAGGUUGUAUAUACAGUAAACUUUAUGAUUAUUCACUAGAGCUUAAAAAUGCCCCGGUAUACUUACUUUACGUGUGACAAACAUCACAUAUCAAAAGCAAAACAAAAUUGAACUGAAUUGAACAGGUUUGCCUGUUAGUAAGAGCGCGGGGAUUUUUCCAAUUGAAACAAAAAAUGUACGUGUUGGAAUAACAACAGGUACUGCAACGAGAUUGUCUGAUAUAUCUUUAAAAUAAAAUUGUAACAACGUGAACAUACUUUUGAGGUUGAAACGAACAGUAAUAGGAAAUUCAGGUUGUACAUUAGCUGCAUUUGUAUUCUACCGUUGAUUGUGAUGGACGAGUUAAGUGGAACCACCAGUAUAAGAGGUAACUAUUUCUUUAAUGAGAGCAGCCAAUUCAAAAGCACAAUGUUAUUAAGUGGAUACUUAGAGCUGUUAUCGGAAGCAAUGAUAAGGAAAAAUCUAUAGAAUAAAGGUGUGGGGAAUUACACUUUCGCUGAGUGUUUGUUUUGCAUUUUUGCUCACACGAUAGGAAAAUCGAUUACGAACAGUCAAUAAUUUGGACAUCAUAAUAGCAUAUUCUAUCCACAAAAAUCAUUCGUUAACCUGCAUAUUUGGUCAGCGUGCGACCAGACCGAACCAAGCAUUUUUUAAAAGAUCGAGUUUUAUCACCAGUGGAUGUUAAAAUUGAUAAUCUAUCUUUCAUGAAAAAAACGAAAUCAUUUGAACAGUUUAUAAUGGUAUUAUAACACAAUUUCUCUGCAGCAGUCGCAGGAAAUAUACGGGGUUGUUAAACUUUGAUCGCCGAUUACUCGAAAUAAUGUUUUUGGCGCUUGGUUCGGUCUGGUCGCACGCUAACCAUUUAAUGGUCUUAUAGUUUUAAGGAAAACGAAAUUUUUAGAUAUAGUGCAUUUGAAUGAAAUCGAUCAACGAAUUAACAUUAAAGUUAUAACUCUCCUAAAAUAUCGUGUUAGUAUAUAUAAUUGAAGUAUUGUGUAACUCUUAACCGUAUAUUAUAACUAAUCACGGCAACUUAGGCUACGCAGUUUACACAAAUUUGUUGGACAAUUACUUUGUUUUACAUCUUGCUACCAUAUAAAAAUCCCAGCUUACUCGUUACAUCAAAUCAUGAUUCGUAGAACAUGGUGUAACAGUUUGAUAAAAAAGGAAGCGCAGGAUGGUUUUACUAUGGAAUACAGGAAGAAUUUUUUCUUUAUUUAUUAAUGUUUCCUUGCUCGCUAGGAAAAGAAAUGUCUCAAUUUUCAAUGUUUAACUUGUGAGGCACUAUUCAGAAGAACAAAUAUUGUUAGUUAGUUAUGUCAUAUUUACAAAUGCAUCUCAAUGAUAUACUUAACGAUGCGAAAAAUUGUUAUUUAGUGGCUGUAUAUAAACAAACUUUUUCGCAGUUUGAUUUGUUUUCAAUAUUCUGCUUUUGACAUACCGUUACAACAUGUCUCUACACAUCAUGACAUGAAAUAGCACUUUUGGUUGAUAACUAUUAUUGAUCAAAAUAAAAAAUAAUUAUAACUACAUAAAAUCAAAUAGUUGUUAAAAAUACUAAUUGACGGAGUUUCAGAUAAUUUUAUGCAGUUUCUUGGUUUUUUACAGGUUUUAACACCAAAACUAGCAUCGCGAAUUACGUUGUUGGUGUAGGUGUAGUUUUUUUAAGCAACGACGCAACUUUAGUUGUUGCUUGUAUCUUUACAAUGUCGUCGUAACAUCGUAGUAACAAAAUAAUUUUCUUGAAACCACUGAAAUUCGGUAGUGCAACAAAUGCUCAUUAUUUAUUUUUCAUUAUGCUUCGAUUGUUGCAUGGGGCCCAACCAAAUAUUUUUUGGGGCCCUCUUUGCUACAAACAUUCAAAGGUAAUUGUUUUUGAUAGCGUUUAUUGUCACAAGAAGUUGUCAUACUUUAAAGUAGAAGAUUAUAAAGUCUUCCUUAUAAAGUCUUCCAAAUCGAUACUAGGUGUGCUCAACCAGACCGCCUUUUCGGGUGUGAGUGUGUGUAAAAAGAAGGAAUGAUUUAAGAGUGACGUAACGUCUAGGAUUAUCAUUGGUGUAUGCAGAUAGUUAUGACUAAAAAAUCUGAGACGCGGAAACGAACAUGAAGUAAAACCAAUCUUUCAUAAUAUUAGCAUAGAAUUUUAUUUUAUUUCUUCUGUUUCCCGUAAACUUGUCUUGCAUCAAUUCAUUUGUAAUAGAAAACGAAAAAUAUAACUCACAAAUCAUAAUAAAGAACAAUUAAGGAGAAUAGAACAAACAAUUCAACUAACUUUGAGUGUCACCAAAGAUAACUAGAACAAGAUUCCUGACUUCCAGUUUUUUCAUAUAUUUUGCCCACGACACCUUUACAACCGUUAGUGCUGCCAUCUGAUGAUUUAAAUUCGCAUAUUUAAAUUAGAUGGCCGCACCGUCAAUUUCUUGAAAAUCAGAUGGCAGGACCAUACAAGGAUAUCGAAAAUAAAGUGCUAUACAUUUCGCCACCUUGCCGUCAUUAUCAAAUUACCAGUAUAGAAAUUAGUUCGACUUUUGUUCACGCGCAGCGACAAUCGUGUCCGAUGUAUACUGCAAGAGUUGAAAAUCUUGUACUAGUCAUCUUUGGUGUCACACAACAAGCAAUAAAGUUUUCGUCUAGGCUCUAGAGCAGCGGUUCUCAACCUUUUUUGGUCCGCGUCCCUUUGGUGAUAUUUUUCAAAUCAAUUGUACCCCCUGCCUUGGUUUGUUAUCGCAGAGUGAGAGUAAGUAGUGACAGAUCAUGUUGUGGUAGUCUAAUUCAGGUUUCAAAUCAAACUAUGGUUUGUUUGAUUGCUACACUGCCUAUAAUCGCAUAUCAGUCCCAUCUGGAAAACAUCAAAUUGAGAAAACAGCGCUUGAAGAUAUUUUUCAUGUUUUGGGUAUUUCUCCUGUUUGGGGUGUGCUCAGAGCCGGAUUUAUGGGGGGGCCCAGGGGGCCCGGGCCCCCACAAAUUGAGAAAAAGAUUUUUCUCUUUGAAAAAUGAGAUUUAAUCAAAAGUUCGAUUUACAGUAAGAAAAUUUGAUCAGACCAUUUCAAUCUGACACUUUCUUUCAGUGUUAUUUUUUUACUAGCGCCAAUAUCACAACUACAUCCAUAAGAGCUCACCUUGGAUCAGGGUUGCCACAUUUAUUUCUGUAUUUUUGCUCGAAAAUGUCUGUAUUAUCUGUUUCACGGGCUAAAAAAUCUAUAUAAAAAAUCUGUAUCCAGCAAACUAAAAAUGUUGCAUGAAAAUCUUCUUCCUUAAAGAAAAUAUUGAAACAAAUCACCAUUUUUUGCUUUGGCCUAAUUUUUUAUUAGUUCCAAACUUAUAAUUAGGCGAGUUAAUCAAAUGUAGUAACUGAACACGAUAUUGCUUAUUUAUCUUUACGUGAUGUUCAUGCAUGUUUUUGUUAAUUUAAUUCUAGUAGCUCCUGCUUGGUUAGCAACGUAGCUUUUAGCUUUUAAAAUUGAGCUCAUAAGCUUAGGGGCCAUGAGAUAUCUGGCUUUAGACUUGCUGCAAUUAUAUAUUGAAAAUAUGCGUUCUACAAAAGCCGAAGAAUGUGGAAUUAUUGAAAAAAUUCGCACAAAUGAUCUCAGUAACGGAAACAUGAAUUUACCAUUGGCAUUGUGGCGUCCAACUACUCAGACCAAGUUAAGUCAUCUGUUUCAUCGAAUCUUCCGGUCAACAAGUUUGUUCUUAGCGAGUAAAACUCGUUAUUCAUGUCUUGUCGAUCAGUUACUGUUACGAAUUUUGGAAAUCAAAUCAUUUAAAUUUUCCAAUUUCACGAAUGUUUAGAAUUGAAUAAAGCUACCGUUUUUACAACAGAAUCGAUAAAAUCGAACAGCUUUGCGAUUUGUUUCACAAAUUUUAAAUAGAAAUCCCGUCAAAUCUUUCGAAACGUUAUUUUCCGCCUUCGUCCAAGCCUCAUCCCUCUUCUUCUGCAACGAUACUAACAUAAACAGCAUCAGGUUUUUUCACAAAAGUUUGAAAGUCGUUGAAUUGAAUUUAACCUUCCAAAAAAAUGAUUUCAUUUCGAAUAGCAAAAGAUUCUGUAAAAUCUGUAUUUUUGACAAUAUUCUGUAAUUCUGUAAUACAGAUUCUGUAUUGCUUUUUUAGUUCAAAAAUCUGUAAAAUACAGAAAAAUCUGUAUAUGUGGCAUCCCAGCCUUGGAUUCUCUUGGAAUGACACACAUUAACACACCAUUUGAAUCGAACCAGCGCGCAUGGGAGAUAAAGCAGAGAAAGAAAAUAACCCACAAGUUUUUUUAAUGCAUUGCUUUUGCUAACUUGUCCGAAUCAGGAACACCAGAUGUGCUUUGCAAAAUGCAGAUUUUCUGAGUUCGUGUGCAGAUUUUAUUGACCUGCAGAUGUGUGUAGUUUUUUCCUAGUUUCUGUAGAUUAUUGUCAGAGUCGUCUUAUAUUUGCGCAGUCUUUCUCAAAUUGUGUCAAGAAAAAAAAAAUCGAAGAUGAAACUAAUUAAAAAUAGGUUGCGUACGACUGUGGAGAAUGAAAGGCAGUCUUAGCAUUAUUAAGUUUCGAGUACGAGUAUACUGAAGGAGUUGAAUGUUGAUUAUUUAAUUAAUAAGUUUUCUGCAAAACAACACGAAAGAAAAAAAUUUAACAAAUUUUUGAUAACUUUUCAAUAGCAAAUAAAUGUUUUUAACUCGUACGAUAAAAAAAAGGUUUUGUUUUAUUUCGGGGCCCCCACUAUAACUGGGCCCCGGGCCCCCACAGUCGUAAAUCCGGCCCUGGGUGUGCUAUUCUAAUUUUUUUGUCAUGAUGUAAUGAAAUAGACCUCAAUCAUAACUUCUUCAUUGAAGAAUUGCCUUUGUCGUGAAAAUUACAAUGAAAAAAAGGGAGAGACUAAUAUGCGAUUAUUUAGGCCAUCGAGUAGCAAAAUAAUCACAUACCAGUCUCACUUUCAAUUAGUCGGGGUACUACUCCAUAUUUUUCUCAAGUAUUUUGAAUAUGGGAAACGUUUAUGACCGCAGACAGCAUCUAAAUUUUCUGCAUGGAGAAUUGCGGAAACAUCCACCCAUUACUUACCCCGACUUUAAGGUCGUCGUUGAAAAAGCAAAAUAUAAGGGUGAAGUCUUGGAUAUGCUACUGAACAAUAUCCUUUCUUAUGUCUUCAGUGUUUCGCAAUACUUGCUGAAUAAAACUAUUCCGCAUUAGCCCGUGCACUUAGCAUAUUGGAAGAGUAGUAUUGAGAAAGGGAAGUUUCCAAUUUCAUUACAACAGUGACUUGACGAAAGACGACGACGAUGAAAAGAGGUACAAGCUGUUUUUAGCUAAGCAACUAAAAACUUCUGAGUUCUGACCAUUUCAACUUGAAUUAUUAUUUGAAGUGAGCAGAUCAUCCGCAGGAAAUUAACCCCUUGCAGAAAGCAGCAUUGCUCAAGACUAUUGUCCCUCUGAUUGACGAAACCAAUAACCUUUCGGGAACAAACUUUCAAAAAAAAGUUGCAGUUUCAGUGUCUACUUAGAAUUAUCUUUUGUGUGGAAUUUAUUUGAAAUAACCUUGCAAUUAUCAAUUAUUUGAUGAUUUUUUAACAGUAAAAAGCUUGGAAAACAACACCAAGUAUUUAUUAUAUGGAUUGUAGAAAAAAAUAUGGCCAUACUCAGGAAAAACAUUUGGUGGGACUGAUAUGCGAUUAUUUUCAAGAUGGGACAAUUUGACCUCACAUUUUUUUUGACUUUUUUCAAAUAAAACAUACUUUUUCGUUUUCUUAAUCGAUAGUAGAGCAAGAAAUAGAUGGAAUCUGAUAUUUAACUCAAAAACGAUGAAAAUUCAUAUGGGACUAGUAUGCGAUUAUAGGCAGUACAGUCAUAUUUUAAAAUCAAGAAUGCAAAACAAAUGAAGUGGUAUAGGGAAAAUUGCUUUGUCCGCCAUUACUGAUUUUUUUUCGCGUACCCCCUGGAGGCCUUCGCGUACUCCAGGUUGAGAACCGCUGCUCUAGAGGGUUAUCGAUUGUAGUUGCCAUAUAUAAUGCCGAGUUUUGCCGAUUUUUCACCGAGUGCUGAUUCUGUGAGCACUUAGUAUUUGAUGGCUGAUAGAUCAGAGGGCUAUGAAACAAUUAGAAGUACAAUUCCGGGGUGUUCCAUUAAGUAACAAUCUGAUGUUUUUCGAAAAUCCCUGCUGCUUAAAAGAGCUUUUUAUUGAGUUAUUCGAUGUAAUGAAUCAAUUAAAGCCGAUCUUACCUGUCAAACCCCACACCCCAGGGUUCAAAAUUUCGAAUAAGUUCGACCUGCUCAUUGUUAUACAUGAUGUUUAGUGUUGGUUUUGAAUCUCACCAUUCAAUUCUUUGCUUGCCCGAUAAGUCAAAAAUAUCAGGAUUAUAACAAAUCUUGAUAUUUUGUUGCGACCUUUUUAUAUCAACUUGUGCUCUAAACUUGGUCUCGUUAAUAGUCAAAAUAUUAAAACUACUUACUGAUUAUCACAAAUUAUAGCAAGUUUUGUAAGGUUUUUGGCAGAAAAAGAACAGAAUUAGUUAGAAUGUACAAUAUUUUGUUGAUUGAAUAGCAAAUUUUGUUAUAAAUAUGCUUUGGAAAAACACACUUUUGAACAUUCAAGUGUAUGAUAACAGAAUUUGAUAUAUUUCUGUAUUUUUUAUCAUUCUGGCAUAUCAAUAAUAUUACAGGCUUUGUUAUUUUUAUCAAGUUCAGAUAUGUUUGUGUUACCCGUUUGUUAUAAUCGUUUGAUCGGGUGUCUAAUCAAAACCGCCCUUGAACUACUCGAAUUUUAUUUUAUUGUUGCGUUGAAGAUCUUUCGUCAUCUCAUACCGAUACCGAAUUCGUUUAGUAAACACUUCAUAGAGAUAAAUGAUAACUCUGUUGUUGUUUACGUGAUGUUUAGAAUUAUAGUCUCCUGUUUUUUUUCUCGCUGUAGUUUCCUGCUUUUUUCUUCCCAUUUAUUUGAAAGUCUUUUGCCUUACUGUUAAGUUUUACUUGAAUUAGGUUGUUUAGCUAUAUCAGUUUUUUAUAUCAUCUGAAAGGUCUGCAUUUUCUGAGUAAAACGUAAUCUUAAAAAAAAAUUCUAUCGUCCUUCGCUUUUUAAAUCACGAUUCUAAACUGCUCGAAAUCGCUACAAUGACAGUUCGCCCAUAUACCAACUGUCAUUGUAACGAUUUGGAGCGAAUUUUAAUUCUUCAUUUAAAAAUCGAAGGAUAAUGAUAUAAAGUUUUAAAAAAUCACGUUUUGCUCAGAAAAUUACACUCUUUCAGAUGAUAUAUAAAAAUCGGAAAUCCGUGAAUAGCUAAACAACCCAAUUGGAGAAAGAAUUUACAACUACGAAGAGAACCCUGAAAUCCUCUGCAGUUCCUCUUUUAUGUAAAGCUUUUCGAGCAUUUGGGCUCGUUUCACUCUAGUGCGCAGUGGCAGGAGAGCUCAAAAUCGUAGUUUUAUUUGAUUUAAUUGACACAUUCAGAAGAAAUUUAGCAUUUAUAAAUGACACAUUCUACCGUGACGUUACAACGUUUCGACUAUUCUGUAGGCAUCAUUUUAAUUCUAACUUGUUUGUUUUUCAUGAAACCCUUUGAUAUUAUUACAAAUUCGGAAAGUAGACAAAAUUUCCUAUAAAAAUGAUGUAUAAGAUAUCUGUUUACUUUAUUUAAAUUACCUUGGGGAGUGAAAAUGUAGCGUGACGUUACAACGCGCGAGAAAUUGAGGUGUCGGGACUUUUCUUACAAAAGUCAAAAACUCUGCUCUGUUUGGAAUUUUAUAACAGUUUCUUCUUCCACGAUUUGAUAACAAAUAAUAAUCGAACAUUUUGCCAUGUUUAGAGAGCCUAUAACUGGUAACAUCUAUAUUUGAGAAGCUUCUAUAUUUCGUGACGUUACAACGCUCAUUUUUCAGCAAGGGGUAUUCUCACUCCGUUGUAACGUCACGAAAAUAUGAAUCAGUCGAUAUCCAUUAUUUAUAACUUUUUUUAGACAUUUUCAUAAGAAAUAGUUCAAUAUCUGAUUUUCUAUAUUUCUACUUCUACUUUAUGGACUUGGUUUGUGGGGUUAUCCAUAAACCACGUAACAAAUUUACUUUGUCGUUUGAUGUUUGGGAAUGCAAAACCAAUCUUAAACUUGGAGAUUUUCAGUGUGGACUUCCUCACUGCGACCAGAAUUAUUGAUCUAUUGUGAAAUAUGCCCUGGUGUCAGCUCUAUCCCGCACUUCUUUUUACUAGCAAUACCGCCGCUAUUGAAAAGUGGCAAGCUUAUUAUUUUUUUAUCCGUGCUUGUGUGUAAUGUGGAUUUUACCCUCCUUUUUUACACGCUAUCUGCUCUACUAUACCAAGCCUCGUUCCUCUUGCCAAAUAUUGCCAAUCAUAAUUCCCUGGAGAAGUGUAGUAUUGCGUCCUUCUGGUAAGUUUUAUUUAUAAGAUGUACUUAUUAUUGUUCAGAGGAAGUCACGCAAAGGUUUUAUAGAUUUCAGCCUAA